ensembl:snRNA U6 U6 spliceosomal RNA
AUGCUUGCUUUGGCAGCACAUAUACUAAAAUUGGAAUAAUACAGAGAUUAUCAUGGCCACUGCAAAAGGACAACACGCAAAUCCUUGGAACGUUCCAAAUUUUU